CACUGACACAGGAGACUCCUGUGAUGGUUCAGGUCUCCCCCAUCAGACCAGGAGUUGCUGAAUCCGGGGUGGUCUGUUUCCCUCUUCAGGCUGGAAGCUCUGAAGGGCAGAACUCUCGCUCCUCUGACACAUCGGGAGCUCCUGUGUGCAGGGCCCUGUCUCCCACCUUGGGCUGAGGCUUCUAACGGCAGGGCGUCUCUUCCCUCCAACUAGGGCACCUGAAGGGCUAAGUGUUCCAAGACAGCAGUGUCAGCAAAGGCUGCGCAGAUUUGAGGAGUGGGACCGGCAGAGCUGGAUGAAACCUGACUAUGCUGAAGGGGAAAUGGAGACCCCGGGAGGGGCAGGGACCUGCUGAGUGCCUCCCCCAGGCAGUAGCUGACCUGGACCGCAUCCCGGUACUCCUGCUGAGAUGGAGGUUCACAUCUUGCUCAGAGAGGUGAGGCGAUUCACCUGAGAGCACGCAGCAGAGAUCCUGACUAAUACGCCAAGGCCCAGGGCUGCAUGCCCAGGACUCAGGAAGAGUCUCGAAGAAUCCUCUGCACACAAGAACACUGCUAUCCGCCGAAGCUGAUGUCAGCUAUUCCCUGCAGACUGGCCUGGUCCAGCAGAGCCAGCUCUGCUAAACUACCACAGGCAGGAAGAAAAUGAGCCACCAGGGGCCUCCACACUUGUCUCUCAUAAAAGAUAUAUGCUCCACAAGGACAGGGGUUGAGUCUGUCUUGUUCCCUGCUCAAUAAUUGUGUGCUAUGGAUAAGUAAAUGAAUGGAUCAAGAGAUAAGGAUGGAAGAGCAAUUUACAAACCCAAAGCAUUGUGCAAGGCAGGGCAUAAUUGGGUAGGAAUGCUUCUUCUAGAAGUUAUUCCUUAGGAAAGGCCAAACAAAAAGUCUAUUAAUAGACCCGAUUAAUAAACAUCAGCCAAGGUAAAUGUUAACAGGAAGUAUUUCUGCAAAUGUUGGCGGUCUCUCAGGCUGGGCUCAGAGUAGGCUGGCAUGCUGGUGAAGAAGACUUCCUGCCUCCUGUUUGCUCAGAACAUGUUCUCAGGCCUAGGGGAGCCUCCUUCUUGAACCCCAGAAUGGGUGCCACAGUCCCAGGCUUGCCGCAUCCUGGAAGUUCACCCUACUUCAGUAUGCAGUCAGAUCCAGGUACGCAGGGACGCAGUGUGCGGUCAGACCCAGUUAUGCAGGGAUGCAGUGUGCGGUCAGACCCAGUUAUGCAGGGAUGCGGUGUGCGGUCAGACCCAGUUAUGCAGGGAUGCGGUGUGCGGUCAGACCCAGUUAUGCAGGGAUGCGGUGUGCGGUCAGACCCAGGUAUGCAGGGAUGCGGUGUGCGGUCAGACCCAGUUAGAUGGUCCUUAAACAUGCCAUGCUGAUUUGCCCCUGGGGGCUUCACUUGUGUUCUUCCAUUGUUCCUCUUUUCCUCACUUCCUUCAGGUUUCUGUACAAAUGUCGCCUCCUCAGAGAGGCCUCAUCUGACCCCAUUCAAAAUUAGCAGCCACACAGAGGUAUAAUAUGCUGAGAAAAAUUUAAAAAUAAAAAUAAAAUAAAACAGCAGCUGCUGUUGCCAUAAUUAUCCAUUAAAAAUAUCCCCUAACCCUGUUUUAAUUUUUUUUUUUUUUUUAAUUUUUGAGAUGGAAUCUCCGAGGCUGGAGUGCAGUGAUGCGGUCUCAGCUCACUGCAAUCUCAGCUUCCCGGGUUCUGGGCUCAAGCAAUUCUCUUGCCUCAGCUUCCUGAGUUGCUGGGAUUUACAGGCAUGCACCACCAUGCCCGGCUAAUUUUUGAAUUUUUAGUAGAGACAGUUUCGCCAUGUUGGCCAGGCUGGUCUCGAACUCCUGACCUCAGGUGAUCUGCCCACCUUGGCCUCCCAAAAUGCUGGGAUUACAGGCGUGAGCCACCGCACCCUGCCUUAAUUUCUUGAAAGGACUUAUUGCAAGUUGAAAUUGUAUAUAAGAUACAUUUGUUUUUAUUAAUUUUAUCUGAUUCCCUCUUCAUUCUAGAGGGGAAGUUGGACAAAAUACAUUAUUUUUUCUUUUUUUCUUUUAUUUCUUUUUUUUGAGACGGAGUCUCACUCUGUCACCCAGGCUGGAGUGCAGUGGUGCGAUCUUGGCUCACUGCAACCUCCACCUCCCCGGUUCAACCAAUUCCCCUGCCUCAGCCUCCUGAGUAGCUGGGAUUACAGGAGCUCGCCACCACGCAUGGCUAUUUUUUUUUUUUUGUAUUUUUAGUACAGAUGGAGUUUCACCAUGUUGGACAGACUGGUCUCAAACUCCUGACCUGAGGCAAUCCACCAGCCUCGGCCUCCCAAAGUGCUGGGAUUACAGGCAUGAGCCACUGCUCCUGGCCUUUCCUUUUCUCCUUUUCUUUUCUUUUUCUUUUUCUUUUCUUUUUGCAGAGUCUUGCUCUGUUGCCCAGGCUGGAGUGCAGUGGCACGAUCUUGGCUCCCGUAACCUCCACCUCUGGGACUCAAGCUGUCCUCCUACUGAGCUCAGCCUCCCAAAUAGCUGGGACUACAGGCGCAUGCCAUCAUGCCUGGUUAAUUUUUGUAUUUUUUGUAGAGAUGGGGGUUUCGCCAUGUUGCCCAGGCUGGUCUUGAACUUCUGGACUUAAGUAAUCUGUCCACCUCGGCCUCCUCAGUGCUGGGAUUACAGGCGGGAACCACCGCGCCUGGCCAUUUUUCUUUUUUUUCUUGAGAUGGAGUCUCGCUCUGUCACUCAGGCUGGAGUGCAAUGGCGCCAUCUCGGCUCACUGCAACCUCCACCUCCCGGGUUCAAGCGAUUCUCCUACCUCAGCCUCUCAAGUAACUGGCACUACAGGCGUCCGCCGCAACGCCCAGCUAAUUUUUUUUGUAUUUUUAGUAGAGACGGGGUUUCACCGUGUUAGCCAGGAUGGUCUCCAUCUCCUGACCUCGUGAUCCAUCCGCCUUGGCCUCCCAAAGUGCUGGGAUUACCGGCGUGAGCCACUGCGCCCGGCCCAUUUUUCGUUUUUUAAAAAUAAAUAAAUAAGUUUGUCCUGUUUACCGCUCUAUAUCCAGCACCUAGAACAGCGCCUGGCACCUAAGCAGGCAUUUGGUAAAACUGUGCCAAAUGAGUGAGUGCGGACAGCGUCCUAGUCCUUCACCAGCCCCCUCUCAGCAGCGCAGGCAACUGGCCCAGCUGUGUCUCCCGCACGGGCCGGCGGGCGCUGUGAUGGAGGCAGUGCAGGAUGCCGUGUGAGCCCGAGGAAGGACUUGCAGCCCUGCUGAGGGGACGAGGCGAGGCUUCUUGGAUGACGCCACAUCUAAACUGAGAUCCGAGGGCUGAGUAGGAAUUCUCUUAAAGAGGAGGAGAGAGGGCCGGGUGCGGUGGCUCACGCCUGUAAUCCCAGCACUUUGGGAGGCCGAGGGGGGUGGAUCACCUGAGGUCAGGAGUUCCAGACCAGCCUGGCCAACAUGGCGAAAUCCUGUCUCUACUAAAAAUACAAAAAUUAGCCAGGCAUGAUGGUGGGUGCCGUCAUGCUACUUGGGAGGCUGAGGCAGGAGAAUUGCUUGAACCCAGGGUGGAGGUUGCAGUGAGCCGAGAUCGCACCAUUGCAGGCCAGGCUGGGUGACAGAGCGAGACUCUGUCUCAAAGAAAAAAAAAAGAGAGAAGUAGAGAGUUCAGGAUAGAGGGACAUACAGGUGCAAAGUUCUGAAGGCAAGAGAGAGUCUGGCAAGUGGGUAGAAAAUAAAGGAGAUUCAUGGGUGUGUAUGAGAAUGGGGAGAACAGGGUGGGCUCAUGAAGGAUCUGGAGUGGCUCUUAAGUCUGGACAUGACAUGCCCAGAACAAAUAUCUGCAAAUAGCUCCAGGAACUUUGCCAUAUCCAGCAUCUCUUGUCCUGGUAAUAAAUACUAUUUGCUUAAUAUUU
rnacentral:lncRNA from 1 species